UCAGGGAGGGAGGAAGGGAGGAGGCAGGAAGGAUGGGAGGAAGGAAGGAAGAAAGGGAGAGAGGGAGGGAGGGAAGGAGAAAAGGAAAGAAUUCAGCUUCCUCUUUUUUCUUUCCCAGUGAGGGCACAUGACAUCUGCCUUGCUUUGGCCCAAAAACAAGACAAAGAAUCUGUGACCAUUUUCCAUUAUUUUUACACCUACAUUAUAACAAAUAUAUUUGAAAUAAUUCUUAUCCCUGAAUUGCUUUACCUCUUAUACCCCAACUUUAAUCAGAGAUUAAUUAAAAUAGGCUCCAUUAAGAAAUAUAAUUCAUAUGCUUCUCAGUGUACAUACAUUGGGAUUAUCAAUGAAAUAUUGAACUUCUUGUUACAUAAGUACACAGAGAUAUGUUUAUUUGUGUACAGAUAUGUAUAAUUAUGUGUGUAGAGUAUGUGCAUGUAAAAAAUACCAAAUGAUCAGUAUUUCUUAUUUCUAUAUCUAGAUUAUUAAAACUUACCUGUAUUAUC
rnacentral:lncRNA from 10 species